CAGCUUGUAUGGAGAAGGUCUCUUCCAUACAUUUUCUGACUUUAAAGACCCUUCUGUCUGUUAAAAGAGAACAGCACACUCAUGGGUGAUAACCAUCUCACUUUGGACCCUUGCACGUAUAUAAGGGAAAAUGACUUCUUAACUUAUUCUUUAUGGAGCACGUUAUUAGUUUGGUGAUCUAUAUUAGCUGUUGACCAAAAUAGAGCUUCCCCAGUAGAAAGAAUUUCUUAAUGCCAAAUCAACUUCAGACUAGAAGGGUUAAGAGUAAAGCAGGAAAUGGAGAUGAGUAAAGAGGGAAAAAAAUUGCCCAUUGGAUCAAGAGUCCGUCAUCUUCUAUCAGGACUUAAGAGGGAAAGGAAACAACUUUGAAAGGGUGUUGAACUGCACAGAAAACUACAAACAUUAAUUCUCGAUAGCCUUAAAAAAAUUUGAUUUGAUCUUCGUAGACAUUAACGCUACGUUUAGAUAUUGAGGUGAUUUCAGAUCACCUCACUAACCAAACAUAGCUUAAAACUCUUCUAUAUAAAGAUUUUGAAUAAUUCUAUUUGAAGGUCUUUACACCAUAACAUCCACCUGGCAUAAUUUGAUUUAUAAUAUAAAUUUUAAAAUUUGAAUCUCACAAAUCAAAUUAUGUCAUGUGAAUGGUAUGUGGUGUAAAAGCCUUCAAAUAACACUACUUGAAGACUUUUUUUUUUUUGGGUGUGCAUUUCUCUUGGCAGUGAAAAUAUACCAUAAAGUCUGUGCUUUCAGAACCUUGAUAUGAGUAAUGAUGCAAAUGCUUUUCAAGAG